UGGAAUAACAAAUACGAUAAG
ensembl:piRNA 21ur-3544 ncRNA